rnacentral:rRNA from 1 species
GAGACAGCAGCCGCCACGGGAAUACAGAGGGUGCGAGCGUUAAUCGGAUUUACUGGGCGUAAAGCGUGCGUAGGCGGCUUUUUAAGUCGGAUGUGAAAUCCCUGAGCUUAACUUAGGAAUUGCAUUCGAUACUGGGAAGCUAGAGUAUGGGAGAGGAUGGUAGAAUUCCAGGUGUAGCGGUGAAAUGCGUAGAGAUCUGGAGGAAUACCGAUGGCGAAGGCAGCCAUCUGGCCUAAUACUGACGCUGAGGUACGAAAGCAUGGGGAGCAAACAGGAUUAGAUACCCCCGUAGUCCCUGUCUCUUAUAC